rnacentral:rRNA from 1 species
UCAGGACGAACGCUGGCGGCGUGCCUAAUACAUGCAAGUCGAACGGUCUUUCUAUGGAAGCUUGCUUCCACUGAGAAGAUAGUGGCGAACGGGUGAGUAACACGUGGGUAACCUGCCCAUAAGAGGGGGGAUAACAUCCGGAAACGGGUGCUAAUACCGCAUAGUUUCUUGAUCGCAUGAUCGGGAAAGGAAAGACGGCCUUUGUGCUGUCGCUUAUGGAUGGACCCGCGGCGUAUUAGUUAGUUGGUGAGGUAACGGCUCACCAAGACGAUGAUACGUAGCCGACCUGAGAGGGUGAUCGGCCACAUUGGGACUGAGACACGGCCCAAACUCCUACGGGAGGCAGCAGUAGGGAAUCUUCCGCAAUGGACGAAAGUCUGACGGAGCAACGCCGCGUGAGUGAAGAAAGGUUUUCGGAUCGUAAAACUCUGUUGUCAGAGAAGAACAAGUUGGAGAGUAACUGCUCCAGCCUUGACGGUAUCUGACCAGAAAGCCACGGCUAACUACGUGCCAGCAGCCGC